ACAUAUAUUAAAGGCAUUCUUUGGUUGAUCCUGCUGUAGCUCCUUGCAAUACGAUUGACAGUUUCGGGAACAUAUUCGAGUACCAGAUUUAGGUAGAGCUCUUCCUUUUCAGUUGUUGAAAAGAAACAAUUCUUAAGGGAAACAAUAUUUGGAUGAUCCAACAUCUGCAUAAUCUGUAACUCUCUAUUCUUGUAGCGCUUGUCUUGGAGAACUUUCUUGAUA
rnacentral:misc_RNA from 1 species